rnacentral:rRNA from 1 species
UAUUGCACAAUGGGCGCAAGCCUGAUGCAGCCAUGCCGCGUGUGUGAAGAAGGCCUUCGGGUUGUAAAGCACUUUCAGCGGGGAGGAAGGCGAUAAGGUUAAUAACCUUGUCGAUUGACGUUACCCGCAGAAGAAGCACCGGCUAACUCCGUGCCAGCAGCCGCGGUAAUACGGAGGGUGCAAGCGUUAAUCGGAAUUACUGGG